rnacentral:piRNA from 1 species
UGCAAUCAGCUUGUGCACCUGCA